RACACGACUUUUGGCAACGGAUAUCUUGGCUCUCGCAUCGAUGAAGAACGUAGCAAAAUGCGAUACCUGGUGUGAAUUGCAGAAUCCCGCGAACCAUCGAGUUUUUGAACGCAAGUUGCGCCCGAGGCCUUCUGGCCGAGGGCACGUCUGCCUGGGCGUCACG
rnacentral:rRNA from 1 species